ensembl:lncRNA
GACCGUCCGUGCAUCUGUAGCAUCUAAUGCAAUCUCUAGCACAUAGUGGGCACUGGACACCAGCUCGCUGGGUGAACUGUCAGCCAGCACAUCACUGGGAGACUGCAGUGUGGGAUCCAUGUUUCCUGGAAUUGCACCAUGGGAACCGUGUUGCCUGCUUUGUCUCUUUCACAACUAAUCUGUCUGUCUUUUCAGAUGCCUAUGAGCAGGAAGGGUCCAGAAGAGCUCCAGAAGAGACAGGGAGUUUGGGGCCUAUGUAGUAGAUAGUCUCAAUAACAACGAAGGCAGGCAUCACAUAAUGAGCCCUUCCCAAAUGCCAGGGAUGGUGCUUUGCGUGCAUUCUCAUGUUUCCUGGCAGCAGCCCUAUGAACAAGGGACUGGCCGUGUGCUCAUUAACUCAGGCGAAGCAGGUGGCAGAGUAGAAAGCAGACGUGAUGGCUUUUGUUUUCAAAAGCCUAAGCUCCAAAGAUGGGAGAAGAUGCAGGGCAUGGAGAAUAUGUCUUAAGGGAGAAGGAUUUCCUCCCUUCAGAAGACCUUCCUUCCUGCCUGGACUGGAUAAGAGUAGAAGAGUCUGGGUCCUAGAGAGGGCCCUGUGUCUCCCUUCCUGGCAGUGUGCUGAGAAAGGAACGCCUGUAUAGCUUUUCCAGGCAGACCUAGAAAAAUAUCCGAAGUCUCAGGAGCAGCCCAGAAGGAGCAAAGAGGCUCAGAUCUGAACAAGCCAUGCUGCAAAGUGUGACUUGAUGACCAAAAGGUCCCCUAGUGCCUUGGUGCCCCAGAAACAGCCCUCUCUCUGGACAUUGAGGUGAAGGAUGCCAAAAAGGACGGAGAUUAAUUUUCCUGCUGGCCCUGAAAUGGAUGUGCAAGUACAAAUUAGGCAAACAUUUGGGUCAUUGACUGCAGCUCUGGUAGGCAGUCUGCACCUUGUGCCUAGUUGGCAACACCCCACAUGUCUUUUAUGCCAGCUGCUCAUCCAUUCCAGGUGGACAGCUUUGUGAGGAGUCCUACUCCAGCAGAGGUGCUGGUGGCCUGCAGGGGCAGUGGGUUCCUGGCUUCAGGCUCAGAAGCUGCCAAUCAGCCUUGUGGCUGGUGGGCUCUUUGAAUAAACCAUUGAGGCUGUAGGACCAACAUCUCUAUACUUCUUGUCACUCUAACAGCCUUGAGAAGUGGCAGACAAAGAACAGGAGACAAUGAGAAGGAGAUAAAAGAGGAAGCAGGAGAUGAGUUUGGGAAAGAAGGGAAAAGAACUGGAGAGCAAAGAGGGGCAGGGAAGGAGAAGGACUUGGGGCUGGUUUGGAGCCUUCAGAAGCUGGUUGGUGGCUCUGGUGCUGUGAGCUGUCCUUGGCAGAGACACGCUCGCUUCUCCCUGGAUCAUGAGGCUCAGUGAGUAUUGUCGACGUGGGGCUGAGCACUCUGCAUCUCUCUGCUAAAGAAAAUGUUCAGCCCAACCAGCUGUCAAUGCAAGCUCAUUCUGUUGAAACAUUUUCUUGAGAAGGAAUGAAAAUGGAAGGUAAACAUCUGUAGGUUUCCUUUAAAAGGAGCAUCUCUAAACAAAUAUGCUGUAAAGAUUCAUUUGAG